GAUUCAUAGCUUCGUGAAGGAACACCCAGUGACUGGAAGGAAGCAGAAACAUGGGGAACAACUGAAGAAAGAAGAGGGGUAAGGAAAAUUUGUGAAAUCUGGGAAUGAAGAGAGGAUCCAGUGGUUCAUGCAUCACUUCCACCCUCCACUGAGACAAGAAACUGCCAGCAGAGCAGUAAAAACAUCCCAAGGAAGGCCGACGGGAGAACACGGGCGAGGACUGUUCCGCCUUCUGCCGCCCAUCACCGGACAGGGCCAGCCACAGCCGGGCCUCUGUCUACCCUUCAUGCCCCCUGAUUACCCUCAUUAGUCGGCUGCGAGGACUCAUUCCUCCCCUGCGUUCUCCCAAGACACCGGCAGCAGCAGCAGCAGCAGCCAAGUGGGGAGUGAAAGCCUGACGCGCGGCGGCCUGUGCCUCUCACGCGACCCUCGAACUUCGAGACAGUGGAUUCGAGUGGCAGUGAAGAGGCAGCGAGGGCAGUGGACGGACAGCUGUGGAGGAAGACGCUUGUAUGUUCAAGUAGCUGGUGGAGAGGACGCCGGCGGGUGAGGAUGAAGGUCACGUAAUACCGAAUGAACCCGUCUCACACAAGUUUCGUGACCUACUCGAGCGUGUGGUUCAGUGGCGGCAGCUGUGGCGGUGGCAGUUGGAAGAGGACACCUAUAUAUGCAAGUGCCUGGUGAUGACAGCGGUGGACGAGGACGGAGGUACCGAGGGUAGUGGUGGGGUGAGAGAUGGAUGUGCGGGACGGAGCGAUGAUGAUCGAUGGAGGGCAACAGCGAAAGCGCAGAAGAAAGAUGAAGACAUGAGACAAAGUGAAGAUGGAGGCACAGCAGGCAUGAGGGAGGGAGAAUCGGGUGGCGGAUACUUUUGAUGGGGAUGCGAUCACGUUCACGUAUGAAAA